AUGGGACUUCAAAUUGCUUAAAAGGGUUGAUGCUGUUUCUAUGCUAUCUGAUAGUCGCUGCUAGUUUCUAUGUACAUUCCGAUCAGGAUCCUGAUGGCAAGUUCUUCACUUCUGCACUUCCUCUGCCUGUUCUUUUAUCUUUCAGAUCAAAAGCUUUACACACUGCUUUGAUUAAAGCCACCGGGUUCGGGUACAUGGUUGAUUAGUGUUUGUGCUGCAUGAAUUUUCAGUAGUUGGGCAUUUAGCUACAAACAAGGCUGCUAUAAAUAUUAUUUUCAUGAAUCUCAAAAUGCAUACCCAGUAAGAAAGCGAGAAAGAUUUGUAUUGUGAUUAAUUUACACAAUUCACUAAUAUUCCAAAUUUUUACCUGCAGGUAAUAACCCUGCGCAAAACUAGCAGUACCUGGAUGAUCCCAUGGAUUCUACAGAAGAUUUCUACCAUGUGACAACAUUUGCAAUCAGGACAGGGACUAUUUGUGUAUUUUUGACUAAUUUCGCAGUGUUUCCUCACAUUUAGAGGUCUUUCAAGUGCAUCCAUCCUUGAAACUCUUUUCAGAAAGCCGCACAUCCAGUUUUGUAGAUAGGCAAUACAGGUAAAAAAGUAUAAAGUUGUGUAGGCAGAUUCUCUUGUUAUGGAACCAGCAAAGAAUGAAAGUUGAAACAAUAUUUUAGUUUUGGUAUUUUUUUACCAACUAAGUGCAGCAAGUGAGGUCUCAUCAUUACAUAACAUGUAAGAUCAAUCAAAACAUCAGGUUCUUAACUUAUUCCAUUCCAUCAAAUUCAAACCCAUCGAAAUUGCAUCAACUCCUCUUAGAGGCUUAGAUGGUAUACUUCUGAGAGACCACCUGAUUCCUCUUUCCCUCCUGGCUACCUUGGCCACGGCCCU
rnacentral:lncRNA from 1 species